UACCUAUGUAUGUAGAAACGUUAUUUUGCUAACUACUGAAUUGUUAAGGUAUUCCUUACAUACUGCUAAAAGUUUGACAAAUGAAACACAGAUUUCUUUGAGUGCAGGGAAAAGAGCCUGCGAGGAUAUCUCGGCCCUCCUGCAGAGGACCCUUGCAGUCGUACAGUCAUUAUCCUGGCGAGCAGAAGGGCAAGGCGUGCGUACCUCCGACCUUCCUGCCCCCCUCCACCACAUCUUGUCUCUUGCCCCUGCUACCUGUCAAACCGGUUUGGCCAAAAAGGGCCAAUCUCUCCCUCUAUCAGUCUUUUGGACGUGUCAAGACGGCCAUCGAAAACAGAAAUAAUCUCUUCGCUGGAACUCUGCAUCGGCCACAGUCCUCCGUCUGCGACUCCGACUCUGAAAUAUAGUGCGGCACAUAUAAUAAUCGAUUGGUUUUCGGCUGGCUCUUCCUCGUCAUCUUGGCCCUGGCCCUUACCGUCCUUUUCUCCGUUUUGCGCGUUGCGUACUAUGAUCACGAUCAUUAAAGCUGCCGCUGGGGCAUCACAGGUAGAAGCAGAAAGCCAGCGGAAAAGGUGCAACACGCAGUCGCUGUGCAAACGGGCCAAAUGCAAUCUCCGUGGGCAGAUGAGGCAGCUGAGGAUGAGGGAAAUGGCCCACGCACAUAUAAUGAUGUUUGGGCCAGCCCAGCGAAUUCGAAGUGCAUAGCUACUUGUCUUAUCUGCGGCCAGCAGAUACAAGAUACGGAUUAAUCUGCAUAUGGAAUACGCAUCCGCAAAUGGACACACCUGCCAAUUGAUGUCUUAACUCCAUAUUUACCCCCAAAUAAUUGAUUAAGCUUACUUCAGAUUAAGUUUAUCGUAGUCAGGGAAAGAUGAAAUUAAGUUUUACAGCUGCCACUCUAUACAUAUGUAUUAUUAAAUGUAUUAAAAUAUCUCUCCAUUAAGUUGCCAGGAUAUCGAUCUGGUGAUCUAAAUUCACUUCAUGUUAAUCCAAAACAUAGCUAUUAUGAUCUGAAAUGACCCAAUCGAUAAGGGCUGAAAAAAUCCCACAGCACUUCGCUGCAUCACCCAGUUGCAGAUUCAGAUGCAUCCAGAUUGAGCCAGUGUGCCAGCCCAGAGUGGGAUAAACAACACAACAACACAAGGCGCCGCCAUGAAGUCCAAUUGAUGCUAUCGCCAGCUCUGACCAAUUUGUGGCCUGCCCGCAUCUCUUCCAGCUCGCAUCGCUCCGUGGCUCUGACCUCUUGCCAGGAAAAAAGGGUGUGAUCCAUUGGAUGGGUGCUGGUAGCGGGAAUUUGGACACGGGCAUCAGAAGCUAUCGUCAAGCUGUGACAUAUUUGUUUCAGUAUAACAUCACAUAAUUUGCCUUUGAUCGCACACAAACAUGUGUUGACUGUUAUCC
ensembl:ncRNA lncRNA:CR44764 long non-coding RNA:CR44764